CAUACAUCUUUGAACCAAAGCCUAUAUCAUGUUUGGGAGCAUGCUACAGGACUGCGUGCGCCCACUGUGCAGUGCCUUAAACGGUCAACUAUGCUAUAUUUGAAUGUGCUGCUUAUGUAGAGGAGAGGCUGUGACUGAGAAAGGCGGUUGAGAUGAGAAGUAGCCUAGCUGUGGUCUUUUGUGCCUGAACUCUCCUGUUGACCUACACAUGAUGUGGAUGAUGGAUAGAACACAUUCCCCUGGACUGUCUGCACCAUGGUACCGUCAUCAGUUUGUUCCAGGCUGAGAAAAAGACUGUCAGACUUGAGACUGGAGCUGAGAAGUGUUUCCCUGUUCUUGGAGGGUGCCCAAGUCCUUCUUUGUGCGCAACUGGCAUAAGAAGUCCAAACCAAGUGUGGCACCCUGCCAGGUCCUAGAGGCAGAAAUGCUGGCAUUAGAGACUAGAAUGUUAAUGGGGGGUUUGUCUGUGUUCUGAAGAGACCUAUCAAGGAGUGUAUCAUUCUAAUCAUUUUUUUAACACAAUGAAAACAAAGGAUUUGCAAACUUGCAAGAAAUUAGGAAACAACACAAAACCUCCACAAAAGUUAUCUGCAACCAUUGAAAGUAGGGAUGUUACAUUCCAUACUCA